UGGGGAAUAUUGCACAAUGGGGGGAAACCCGUGAUGCAGCGACGCCGCGUGAAGGAUGAAGUAUUUCGGUAUGUAAACUUCUAUCAGCAGGGAAGAAAAUGACGGUACCUGACUAAGAAGCCCCGGCUAACUACGUGCC
rnacentral:rRNA from 1 species